rnacentral:sRNA from 1 species
AACAUGAUUAAAUUAGCAAUGAGUAAAACCAAACAAUACAUAAUAAUACUAUAGACUUUCUGCAGUGUGUCCACACAUAUUUUACAUUUGUCCCGAACAUUAAUAAUUUAUCAACAUUAACACUUCCUUCUGCAGUAUAUAUUUUAUUAGACCUUUAUCAUCCCCAAACAUGAUUCAUGAAUAAAGCUACAACUUGUCAUCAUCUAACCAUCAAUUUCCGUUACCCAGUGACCAAACAAGACACAUAUAUCAAUAUUCAUAAUACUCACAAUCCACAAACAUGCAGAAGAACAUGAUGAUCACAACUCACACAUACAGUUCUGUUAGGACACGAUCUCUUAUUACAGAAGUCUAUUAAAUAAGAAACAAGGAAAAAGGAAAAUACAGCUGUUUGUUUUAAUUAAAACAGCUGUAAAAUCUGUUAGUAGUUAUAGUCGUGGGUUGAAGGAAGGUUAUGUAUAAAUAGGUGUUUUUGGUCUGGGAAAAGGGGGAUAGAAAUAGUUUUGUUGUGGGAGGUUGCUGGACCCUCGAAGUGUCAGUGAAUGUAUUGUGAACAUUUGGUUCAAUUGAAAGAAAUAUAGAGUUUAUGGUCCAGUUUUUAUCAAGUUCAUAAUGCUCCAAUCCAAGCGAAAAGGCACAAAACAACCAACCUAUCCUAAUUCUAGCCAAAAUGUCUUCAAAUUACAACAUAUGAGUUUCUAUAGACUGAGAUGGA